rnacentral:sRNA from 1 species
CGCUCGAGUUCCCGCGCGGGGCUGCCAAGGCACGACCACGGGCCGGAAGGCUGCCAGGCCCAGUGGGCAAGCGAAGAAAUGAACCACCGCAACAUGGGCGUUUGGGGGCGGGGCCGAGUGCGAGCCUGAGCCCCAAAUCCCGACCCAGGCAGGGGCGGGGCCCGGAGCGGGGCCUUGGAGGCCCAGCCCGCGCGGCGACGUCUCCGCGUGACGUCUCGGCACCGACUGACAGCCACCCACCAUGGCCGCAGACCAGCGCCCGAAGGCCGACACCCUGGCCCUGAGGCAACGGCUCAUCAGGUACCCGGGCGGGGGACGGGCGGCGGGGGGCGCGGGGCUGCGCGGAGAGGCACGCGCACGCACGACGCACGCACGCACUACGCACGCGCCUCCGGCUAGGAAGCCGCUGCUGCCCAGCCAGUCCGGCCACUGCCCCGGCCCGGCUGGAGCUUCUAGGGCCCGGAAGCGGGCGGCGCCGUUGGGCAGUCCCCCCAGGUGGUCUCCGGGGCCGCCUCCCCGACAGCGCCGUCUCCAGGCCGCCCAGUUCAGGAGACGGCCCGGCCCUCACCGCUGUUCGGCUGUGUCAGCCUCGCUUGGCAGCCUUUACCUCGGAGAAGACCUUCACCCUGGCACCUGAGAGGACCUCACCCAGAGUGGCCCGUCAGCAGCACCCGGGCCUGGCUCGAGAGUGACCUGGGAGGGGGCUGAAAGGGCAGACAAGGGAGAGUCGGGGGAGUCGGUUCACAGGCAGCACACUUGACCUGUGAGGGGGCCCUGGGUGGGACGGUGGGUGAGGUAGCCUCCCACUGGAGCUUAGGGCUGGCACCCAGCGAGGGGCAGCAGGACCACGUGGCUGGCAAGGAGCUGUUUAGGGCUGAGAGCCAGGCACCUAAUGUUGGUGCCCUGCCCCAUCCCAUCGAGGACACGCGGCCUUACGGAGCCCCCGUGGGACGGGGCAGCCACCUUUUCUCAGGAUCCAGGAGACUGACGUGGCCACAUGCAGAAAUGAGCAAGGAGGCCACAGAGGCUUAAAAUGCUUUAAGAAACAAUUCUAAGUUUCAGCAACUUGUUACCCCAUCUGCUUCCUCCUUUGCAACCACCUGUGGAGUGGGGAGACAAGCUCUUCCUGCAGACUCUUUUUUCCCGAGGAUCCUGUUAAGAUUGUCCGGGCCCAAGGGCAGUACAUGUACGAUGAACAGGGGGCAGAAUACAUCGAUUGCAUCAGCAAUGUGGCGCACGUUGGGCACUGCCACCCUCUCGUGGUCCGAGCAGCACAUGAACAGAACCAGGUGCUCAACACCAACAGCCGGUACCUGCAUGACAACAUCGUGGACUAUGCGCAGAGGCUGUCAGAGACCCUGCCGGAGCAGCUCUGUGUGUUCUAUUUCCUGAAUUCUGGGUCAGAAGCCAAUGACCUGGCCCUGAGGCUGGCUCGCCACUACACGGGACACCAGGACGUGGUGGUAUUAGAUCAUGCGUAUCACGGCCACCUGAGCUCCCUGAUUGACAUCAGUCCCUACAAGUUCCGCAACCUGGAUGGCCAGAAGGAGUGGGUCCACGUGGUAUGCACUGCCCAACUCAACAACAGGUCGGUGCCUGUCCCCAAGCCCGGAUAACAUGGCGCUGUCACUCCCCACAGGCACCUCUCCCAGACACCUACCGGGGCCCCUACCGGGAGGACCACCCCAACCCAGCUAUGGCCUAUGCCAACGAGGUGAAACGUGUGGUCAGCAGUGCACAGGAGAAGGGCAGGAAGAUUGCAGCCUUCUUUGCUGAGUCUCUGCCCAGUGUGGGAGGGCAGAUCAUUCCCCCUGCUGGCUACUUCUCCCAAGUGGCAGAGCACAUCCGCAAGGCCGGAGGGGUCUUUGUUGCAGAUGAGAUCCAGGUUGGCUUUGGCCGAGUAGGCAAGCACUUCUGGGCCUUCCAGCUCCAGGGAAAAGACUUCGUCCCUGACAUCGUCACCAUGGGCAAGUCCAUUGGCAAUGGCCACCCUGUUGCCUGCGUGGCCACAACCCAGCCUGUGGCAAGGGCAUUUGAAGCCACUGGCGUUGAGUACUUCAACACGUUUGGGGGCAGCCCGGUGUCCUGCGCUGUGGGGCUGGCCGUCCUGAAUGUCUUGGAGAAGGAGCAGCUCCAGGCUCAUGCCACCAGUGUAGGCAGCUUCCUGAUGGAGCUCCUCGGGCAGCAAAAAAUCAAACAUCCCAUCGUCGGGGAUGUCAGGGGUGUUGGGCUCUUCAUUGGUGUGGAUCUGAUCAAAGAUGAGGCCACAAGGACCCCAGCAACUGAAGAGGCUGCCUACUUGGUAUCAAGGCUGAAGGAGAACUACGUUUUGCUGAGCACUGAUGGCCCUGGGAGGAACAUCCUGAAGUUUAAGCCGCCAAUGUGCUUCAGCCUGGACAAUGCACGGCAGGUGGUGGCAAAGCUGGAUGCCAUUCUGACUGACAUGGAAGAGGAGGUGAGAAGUUGUGAGACGCUGAGGCUCCAGCCCUAAGCCAGCCCUGCUCUGCCUAAGUGUACUCCAGAAGAAACUCAUCUCAUCCAAAUACACACUAUUGAGAAGGCCAGCCUGACCUCCCUCUUACAGAUAAAGUCAGUUUUCAGAGGCUCAGGGUGGGGGGCCUGCCUGAGGCCAUAAUGCUACCCACCCCUCCUCCUAACCGCUGGUGUGUGGGGAUAACCCAGAUGUCUGCAUCCCCUCAAGUCAGUCAGUUUCCUUUCUGUCCACUGGGGGUGGAAUGGGGUAAGGUGGGGUACUUUCAAAUGCUCCUGCUUAAAUAAAUUAGACCAGACCAGUGUAUUUCUAAAGAAAAUCCUGACACGCACCCCCAUUAAAAAUAGUACAUUUUACAGUG